rnacentral:sRNA from 11 species
GGCUAGGCUGGUGUCGCCUUUCUGCCUCACCGCUCCAUGUGCGUCCCUCCCGAAGCUACACGCUCAGUGGAAGAGGACGAUGUCUCAGGUAUAGAAGGAGUGUACCGAGGGCUUAAGGGAGAAACGUGCCAAGAGGAAGGAGCGUCAAGCCAACCCUGACCAGGACCUCCUUCCACCUGGAAACCAAUGUCCUCACUGUGGUACAACAUGCAGAUCAAGAAUAGGUCUCU